rnacentral:rRNA from 1 species
GUUGCUUCGGCGGGCCCGCCUUAACUGGCCGCCGGGGGGCUCACGCCCCCGGGCCCGCGCCCGCCGAAGACACCCUCGAACUCUGUCUGAAGAUUGAAGUCUGAGUGAAAAUAUAAAUUAUUUAAAACUUUCAACAACGGAUCUCUUGGUUCCGGCAUCGAUGAAGAACGCAGCAAAAUGCGAUACGUAAUGUGAAUUGCAAAUUCAGUGAAUCAUCGAGUCUUUGAACGCACAUUGCGCCCCCUGGUAUUCCGGGGGGCAUGCCUGUCCGAGCGUCAUUGCUGCCCUCAAGCCCGGCUUGUGUGUUGGGCCCCGUCCUCCGAUCUCCGGGGGACGGGCCCGAAAGGCAGCGGCGGCACCGCGUCCGGUCCUCGAGCGUAUGGGGCUUUGUCACCCGCUCUGUAGGCCCGGCCGGCGCUUGCCGAUCAACCCAAAUUUUUAUCCAGGUUGACCUCGGAUCAGGUAGGGAUACCCGCUGAACUUAAGCAUAUCAAUAAGCGGAGGAA